AUUGAACGCUGGCGGCAUGCCUUACACAUGCAAGUCGAACGGUAACGGGCCUUCGGGUGCCGACGAGUGGCGAACGGGUGAGUAAUGUAUCGGAACGUACCUUUCAGUGGGGGAUAACGUAGCGAAAGUUACGCUAAUACCGCAUAUUCUGUGAGCAGGAAAGCAGGGGAUCGCAAGACCUUGCGCUGAUUGAGCGGCCGAUAUCAGAUUAGCUAGUUGGUGAGGUAAAGGCUCACCAAGGCGACGAUCUGUAGCGGGUCUGAGAGGAUGAUCCGCCACACGCGAACUGAGACCCGGUCCAGACUCCUACGGGAGGCAGCAGUGGGGAAUUUUGGACAAUGGGGGCAACCCUGCUCCAGCCAUGCCGCGUGAGUGAAGAAGGCCUUCGGGUUGUAAAGCUCUUUCGGCCGGGAAGAAAUCGUAUCAGCUAAUACCUGGUGCGGAUGACGGUACCGGCAUAAGAAGCACCGGCUAACUACGUGCCAGCAGCCGCGGUAAAAC
rnacentral:rRNA from 1 species